UACUGAACCUCUCCAGCCCAGGGCU
rnacentral:piRNA from 1 species